rnacentral:sRNA from 1 species
AUGCAACAAAGAAGAUCUUGCUUUUCUGGCAAUUCUCAUCAGUUGUGAAAUCAAAAUCAUACACGGCAUAGCGACACUCAUCAGCUGGCAAACUGGCCUGAAAAUCCUGAUUUUCAGCUGGUUUCGUUGGGGUAAGAAUUUAGAAUUUGCAUGUUUUUGAUUCCCAAUUUGUGUUCCAAAAUCUAAGAGGAUGUAAAAACACCACUUAACUUUCAUAGACUGAAACGAAAGUUCAUUUUUGUAUCAGCAGCAUCUUUUGACAGUAGUUAAUUUUGUAAGGGGCAUGCAUGCAUAUGCACAUGAUGAGAUACUUUCCAUUCUCCUAGACAUUGUCCAUCUCAUCAACUC